rnacentral:rRNA from 1 species
CCUACGGGUGGCUGCAGUGAGGAAUAUUGGUCAAUGGCCGGAAGGCUGAACCAGCCAAGCCGCGUGAAGGACGAAGGUGCCAAGCAUUGUAAACUUCUUUUGUCAAGGGACAAAAUCAGGCUCGAGAGCCUGACCGAGGGUACUUGAAGAAAAAGCAUCGGCUAACUCCGUGCCAGCAGCCGCGGUAAUACGGAGGAUGCGAGCGUUAUCCGGAUUUAUUGGGUUUAAAGGGUGCGUAGGCGGAAUAUCAAGUCAGCGGUAAAAAUUCGGGGCUCAACCCCGUCGUGCCGUUGAAACUGAUGUUCUUGAGUGGGCGAGAAGUAUGCGGAAUGCGUGGUGUAGCGGUGAAAUGCAUAGAUAUCACGCAGAACUCCGAUUGCGAAGGCGGCUUACUGGACUGUAACUGACGUUGAGGCUCGAAAGCGUGGGGAGCAAACAGGAUUAGAUACCCCAGUAGUC